AGACCCGAAACCCGGUGAUCUAGCCAUGGGCAGGUUGAAGGUUGGGUAACACUAACUGGAGGACCGAACCGACUAAUGUUGAAAAAUUAGCGGAUGACCUGUGGCUGGGGGUGAAAGGCCAAUCAAACCGGGAGAUAGCUGGUUCUCCCCGAAAGCUAUUUAGGUAGCGCCUCGUGAAUUCAUCUCCGGGGGUAGAGCACUGUUUCGGCUAGGGGGCCAUCCCGGCUUACCAACCCGAUGCAAACUGCGAAUACCGGAGAAUGUUAUCACGGGAGACACACGGCGGGUGCUAACGUCCGUCGUGAAGAGGGAAACAACCCAGACCGCCAGCUAAGGUCCCAAAGUCAUGGUUAAGUGGGAAACGAUGUGGGAAGGCCCAGACAGCCAGGAUGUUGGCUUAGAAGCAGCCAUCAUUUAAAGAAAGCGUAAUAGCUCACUGGUC
rnacentral:rRNA from 2 species